AUUAAAAACCAAUGCCCUUCGGGGCUCGCUGGCUGAUUCAUGA
rnacentral:rRNA from 1 species